GAUGAACGCUAGCGGCAGGCUUAAUACAUGCAAGUCGAGGGGCAGCGCGGGUAGCAAUACCUGGCGGCGACCGGCAAACGGGUGCGGAACACGUACGCAACCUUCCCAUAACUGGUGAAUAGCCCUCCGAAAGGAGGAUUAAUACACCGUAACAUAACGAAGAGGCAUCUUUUUGUUAUUAUAGUAGCAAUACGGUUUUGGAUGGGCGUGCGCCUGAUUAGGUAGUUGGCGGGGUAACGGCCCACCAAGCCUGCGAUCAGUAACUGGUGUGAGAGAACGACCAGUCACACGGGAACUGGGACACGGGCCCGACUCCUACGGGAGGCAGCAGUAAGGAAUAUUGGUCAAUGGACGAAAGUCUGAACCAGCCAUGCCGCGUGAAGGAUUAAGGCCCUCUGGGUUGUAAACUUCUUUUAUCUGGGACGAAAAAAGGGCAUUCUUGCUCACUUGACGGUACCAGAGGAAUAAGCACCGGCUAACUCCGUGCCAGCCGCCGCAGUAA
rnacentral:rRNA from 1 species